rnacentral:rRNA from 1 species
UACGAAGGGGGCUAGCGUUGCUCGGAAUUACUGGGCGUAAAGGGCUCGUAGGCGGCCAACUAAGUCAGACGUGAAAUCCCUCGGCUUAACCGGGGAACUGCGUCUGAUACUGGAUGGCUUGAGAUUGGGAGAGGGAUGCGGAAUUCCAGGUGUAGCGGUGAAAUGCGUAGAUAUCUGGAGGAACACCGGUGGCGAAGGCGGCAUCCUGGACCAACACUGACGCUGAUGAGCGAAAGCCAGGGGAGCAAACGGG